GAUGAACGCUGGCGGCGUGCUUAACACAUGCAAGUCGAACGAAGCACUUUACUACGAUUUCUUCGGAAUGACGGUUUUGUGACUGAGUGGCGGACGGGUGAGUAACGCGUGGAUAACCUGCCUCAUACAGGGGGAUAACAGCCGGAAACGGCUGCUAAUACCGCAUAUGGUCUUCGGAUUAAAGCUUCGGCGGUCUGGGAACGGCCUGCGCAUGAUUAGCUUGUUGGUGAGGUAAUGGCUCACCAAGGCGACGAUCAUUAGCUGGUCUGAGAGGAUGAUCAGCCUGACUGGGACUGAGAACGGCCCAGACUCCUACGGGAGGCAGCAGUAGGAAUCUUCCACAAUGGGCGAAAGCCUGAUGGAGCAACGCCGCGUGCAGGAUGAAAGCCUUCGGUCGUAAACUGCUUUAUAUGCGACGAAUAUGACGGUAGCAUAUGAAUAAGGAUCGGCUAACUCCGUAGCCAGCAGCCGACGG
rnacentral:rRNA from 1 species